rnacentral:lncRNA from 1 species
GGAGAUCUGCCUGGGCAUCAAGCAGAGAAGGCCUCAAUCCACCACUAUCUCUGCACAGGAAGGGUUAGGAAACUCAGGCUGCUGGUCCGGGCAAGCAGUUGCUCCAAAUGCAUGGAGUUCUGCCUGGAUGUGGAGUGAAGAGGCCCCCCUGCAUCAGGAUCUCUACACAGGAAGGAUGGCCGUAGCUCAGGCUGCUGAACCAGAACAGAAAUUGUCUUGUCAUUCUGUGUCCCUUGGGACUCCUAUUAUUACUGGCAGAUGGUGCCUGGAUAAACAAGAAAUUCUGAACACUUUGAGUCUGGAAAUUUUCAGAACACCUAGACAGCAUCAGUCAUAACUCCAUACCUGUGUGAGACUGGAAGACUGGAUAGGGCUGAAGUUGGAGAAAUGCCUUUUCCCAGGGUUGUCAGACUGUCAUUUGUUCUGAUGAAGACCCCGCACUCCUUGAGUGGUCAGCCAGUUUUAUCCCAGGGCAGCCACACUUCAGAGGCCUCUGCAUCAUAAGCUUCAUCUAUCUUCAUAUUCAGCAAAACACCAGAUAAGUGGCUAAUUAGCAUAAUUAACAUCAGAAAUGGGUUUUCAUUGGUGAAUUUAGUGGCUUGUUAAUCAGCAUAAUGAAUGUUAGAAAUGGGUUCUGAAUUGUGAAAUUAGAAGAAAUCAAGAUAGUGAAUUGGUUAAAGUAUUAUAGAAACAUACUUAACACUUGCAUAAAAUGGGAAAUUAGAAUCUAUGAGAUCUGUUGGGAUGGCCCCGAAGGUUACAUCAUUAAAUGGACUUGAGUCCAGUCUUUGGGUGAGAGAAUUUCAUAGUGACUGAUGCAAAUUUGUAAAGGUAACAAAAUCUGCCUCUGAAAUAUUGCUAUGUUUGUCUCCUGUAAAUCAUUCAUGUAACAAAUAUGUAUAGUUUGUUCAUCUAAAAGCACAGUGAUCUGGGUCUUUAUCAAACUUAAACAAUAUUGUAUUCACUCUUUCGGGUUUGCCUGUGCAUUCAUGUUUAUGUAUGUCUGUAUGAACAUAGAUUUUGGUCUGAAACUUGCUUUUAUUACAACUGGUAACAAAGCUUGCUUACAAUGAGCAACAAAUACUCACACACAUCAAAAUGUUCAGCUUUUUCUAUAAAAGAACUUCUGAGUUGUAUGAAAUCAAAUUGGUUUACAUCAGUUCAGAACGGUUUGCAAUAAUGUGCUACAGAGAAGUAAACAUCUUCUGUUCCAGCAUUACAGGAUUCUGUAGUGUGUUGAAGACCUGCUGUUUGGUAAGAUGAUCCACACUCCUUGAGACAAUUCAGCCCUGAUGGCCUGACAGUAUUGUUGUAACUUUUCAAUAACUGUAAUGUUAUUACUUCUGUUUUAGAGAGGAAUAAAUCUGAGGUCAAAGAGGUUAAGUAGCUUGCCCAAUUCUAAUACAUGGGAAGGAAUACAGAAAGUAGUUAAUUCCAAAUGUCACUUUUUAACAUCAUGUUCUUUUCUCUAAGUCAUGGUUCUAUAUCUUGGGACAUAGAAAAUAGAAAACAAGUUCCAAUGAACAACACAGCCAAAAGAGAAGUUUUUGAGGGAAAGCACACAUAAAUUUCUUAACCUCAAGUGCCAAAGAAUGUCUCCUAUUUCUUAGGGAUCACAGUAAAAUCCUCUUGGUAUAAAUUCUAGUUGUUGCUUGAUGCUAAGUUCAAUGUUUACUAAGCACCAGAUUUCAUUCCAUAGAGUGGGUUCAGUAAUUCUUAGCUAAUUUUUUUGUUGCUAUUAUAAAAUCUUAAGUUGAAAAAACCUUUCAGGUACUGUUACGAAAAGACAUGUGAACAGGAUGGAGGCGCCUGAAAAUUUUACCCAAGAUUAUGUUUCUCGGAAUUGCUAAGAAGUACUUCUUAGCAAAUACUAAUUUAACAAGUCUUCUAAUAGGAAGUAUUGCACUACACAAUCAAGUUGUUUUUAACUAGGAAUCAUUUCAUUUUGAAAUAAAUCACAGGUUUACAUAUAAACACACACACACACACACACACACACACACACACAGCCCACAUAUGUAUGUCAGCUUAACCAUAUGCAGCUCUGAUAGCUCUGAUUAAAUAUAUGCUUCCAACCCUAUAAACAGCAAGAUCCACAGUCGCUUCCAUGAAAUAGUUAUUUCACCGAGACUGGAUAAAUGGUAAAGCUUUUUCCUCUCUUCCAGCUGUAACCAUUCCCUUUCUUUCUGGGAUCCUCUGUCCUCCUUCCUUGGAAAAGCACCUUCCAUAACAUACUGAGAGUAAAGAGUACAGUGCUCUUGUGAAGGCAGAAUAAAAACUUGGAGGUACUUACUGAGAAUACUAGAGCUGGGUCUGAGAGCUCCAUGAAUGUCGAUGACAGAGCAGGCCACUUCAAAUAGAUAAAACUGCAUUAGUGCUUUUAAAUUUGUCCUUGGGAAUACGCUCAUCUGAAACAAUGAUUGCAGAUACAAAUCAGAUGAAUGCUGCUUUCGGAACUAAAUGAAUGCUCUAAGAGAACAGCUCUGAGAAGAAUACAUUGAAGAGUCUGGAAAGUAAUUUCAUGGAAAAUAGAUUGGGUGCCCAGUUUAUUUGAAGAAAGAUGGGAGUAGAAAAAGCAAAAAGAAGAAAAUGAUUUUAAAGUUUAUUUGGACAUGCCACAAAUUAUGCCUAUAUAUGUUUUAUGCAUGAGUUAAAUAUCUGACAGAUAAUUAUUGAUCACAGAAAUUCUAUAUAAAGGAUGUACUCCCAAAUUGAAUAUCUCUACACAGUAAGCUUAUGUAAUUCAAAUCUUUUUCUCAUAUCAUAUGUUGUUUGUACAUAUAAAGGCUUGCAUUAUUCUGAAAGGGGCACAUUAAAAAUACAAACUCAGCCAAAUGACUGAGAAGAAUUUAGGAUGUACACACUAACGUUAAAAACCAGUGCAAAAAAUUAACUAUCCUCUGAAUGGGUUAUGUUUUCCCAUAUAGUUAGGCCCUGCUGGAUAGUUAUUUAGAUGCCUUGAGAACUAUCUUCAUGUCACCCUCAAGACUCAGGCCCUGGGGCUGCAAAGAGCUAUUUCAUCCCAGGAUGAUCAGAAAUGGGAAAUAUGAAUCAAGGAUGAUUUCUGGCAGAAUUGGGUCUGACUCAUGAAUGGCAAUGCCUUUUUUCUUCCUUUAACUUAUCUUUAAAGGAUAUCCUUUGAAGGAGAUAACUUUCAGGAAAAUGAGAUACUCGUCUAUGAAAAAGUCAAAUUAUUCCAGGUAACAGAGCUCAGAGCAGUCUUCCACAAGGCUUGACACUUCAAAACAAACAAUAAGAAAUCCACUUAAAAUUCCUUAACUUUCCUCUUUCACAGAAUGAUAUUUUACCUCAAGGGUAUUUAUGUAGCUACAGAAAACAAGGGUAGAGGCCCCAGGCUUCUUUCACAAGGUGUUGAUUGAUACUAUAACUUUCCUGGAGCCCAAGAGGAGAGGACUUAAAAUGCACCCAUGGGUUCUUGUCUUGGUAUCGUCAGAAGAAGGAGCAUCUCACUGGUGACAGGGUUCCUUUGGGCAACUUUUUACUGCUCAGAGGUAGAAACAGUUUAUCAAGCUACUGUUUCUUGGGGUGACUUGUUCAAAGUUUCCUUUCACGUAAUGGGAUGCAACAUGAGAUGAGAAGUGACAGCUGGAAGCUGAAUCUUGCAUACAGGAUAGGUGCUCACAUAUCUUAGUGUGAUCAUACAAAACUUUUUGAGGAGUGAGAUUGUUUUUGAGGCCUACUGAUUCAGCAAAGUGCGCUUACUCAAUAUUUUAGGUAGUUAUUAAGGAAGCAGUCCUGAAAGCACUAUAAAGCAAUGCAUAUAAUUAAAAUGUCUUUGACUCAAGACAUGGAACCAACCCAAAUGCCCGUGAAUGAUAGACUGGAUAAAGAAAAUGUGGUACCUACACACCAUGGAAUACUAUGCAGCCAUAAAAAGCAAUGAGAUUAUGUAUUUUGCGGAGACAUAGGUGAAGCCGGAAGCCAUCAUCCUCAGCAAACUAACAGAGGAACAGAAAACCAAACACCUCAUGUUCUCACUCGUAAGUGGGAGUUGAACAAUGAGAACACAUGGACCCAGGGAGGGGAACAACACAUGCCAGGGCCUGUUGGGAUGUGCGGGGCCAGGGGGGUGAACUUAGAUGAUGGGUCAAUAGGUGCAGCAAACCCACCAUGGCACACGUAUACCUAUGUAACAAACUUGCAUGUUUUGCACAUGUAUCUCGGACCUUAAAGAAAAAUAAAAGUUUGAAAAAAUGUCUUUAAUCCAUAUUUGGAAAAGUCAAUGGAAUCUCAGGCUCCUCAACCCUUAUUCUUCAGAG